UUUUUCAGGGUAUUCUUUUUUAUAGAACUGGACAGGUCAUUUAUUCGUUCCCCUUGUUUUUUGAAGUGUCCUGCAGGAUGCUGUGUCCUGCAAUCCUGUGUGCUGUGCUACAGACGCGUGUGGAGGUCAACCCAAAAUGGGCACAGUCUCACCACAGAAGAGUGAAAGAGGAUCCUGGCAGGGAGACGGUAGUGUCCUGCAGAAUGGUGAUGGGCCAAUCUUACAAGAGACCACAGAAAACUGAUAUAGUGAACUAUAGAAACAACAGUGCCUGCUGCAGUAUAACGAGGACACCCUGAGCAGAGAGCUCCAAUAGACCCAGGUCCAGUGUCUUGGCAGGGUGAAAUGGCACUGAUAUGGUGUCCUGCAGGAUGUUGUGUCCUGCAAUCCUGUGUGCUGUGCUACAGACGCGUGUGGAGGUCAACCCAAAAUGGGCACAGUCUCACCACAGAAGAGUGAAAGAGGCUCCCAGAAGUGAGACUGAGUGCCUGUUGCAGUAUGACGAGGACGCAGUGACCAGAGACCUUCAGUAGACCCUGCUGGCAUGAUUGGUGGCUGAAGAACAUGAAAUCAACAGCAAUGUUUAUAAUGUUGUACAUACCUGUAUAGUCUGUAUUAAAAGGCAGUACCUGUAGUAUUUUUCCUCUUACUUUCAUAUUUACCACAUAUUUACUAUGAAUUGACAACUUCUACUAAAAUCCAUUUUUGUAUGUGCCCUGACUAAAACUAUCCUUAAACCUAACCUGUCAGAGAUGUAACAACAACCUGCUCUUAGCAAUGUGGCAGCAGUCUACUUGGAUGCAGCGGGGAACAUAGAACCCUUUUUUGAAAAAGCAUUGUAUGUUUCUGAGUUUUAUGAAUUGUGCCCUUCCCAAACAUCAUGCAUAGGCUAAGCGUAUCUAUGACACGCUGAUUUGAACUCACUAUCGCGUGUGUCCAAUACGCAUUUUUAAGUUAAGUCGUGCUCCACAACGCCCUGUGACAGGUUAGGUUUAGGGAUGGUUUUG